GACCAGACUCCUACGGGAGGCAGCAGUGGGGGAUAUUGCACAAUGGGGGGAACCCUGAUGCAGCGACGCCGCGUGGGUGAAGGAGCGUUUCGGCGCGUAAAGCCCUAUCGGCAGGGAAGAAGGAGGACGGUACCUGACUAAGAAGCCCCGGCUAACUACGUGCCAGCAGCCGCGGUAAUACGUAGGGGGCAAGCGUUAUCCGGAUUCACUGGGUGUAAAGGGAGCGUAGACGGCGACGCAAGUCUGGAGUGAAAGCCCGGGGCCCAACCCCGGGACUGCUCUGGAAACUGCGUCGCUGGAGUACGGGAGGGGCAGGCGGAAUUCCUGGUGUAGCGGUGAAAUGCGUAGAUAUUAGGAGGAACACCAGUGGCGAAGGCGGCCUGCUGGACGACAACUGACGGUGAGGCGCGAAAGCGUGGGGAGCAAACAGGAUUAGAUACCCCAGUAA
rnacentral:rRNA from 1 species